AGUGAACGCUGGCGGUAGGCCUAACACAUGCAAGUCGAACGGCAGCACAGUAAGAGCUUGCUCUUACGGGUGGCGAGUGGCGGACGGGUGAGGAAUACAUCGGAAUCUACUUUUUCGUGGGGGAUAACGUAGGGAAACUUACGCUAAUACCGCAUACGACCUACGGGUGAAAGCAGGGGAUCUUCGGACCUUGCUCGAUUGAAUGAGCCGAUGUCGGAUUAGCUAGUUGGCGGGGUAAAGGCCCACAAAGGCGACGAUCCGUAGCUGGUCUGAGAGGAUGAUAAGCCACACUGGAACUGAGACACGGUACAGAAUCCUACGGGAGGCAGCAGUGGGGAAUAUUGGACAAUGGGCGAAAGCCUGAUCCAGCAAUACCGCGUGGGUGAAGAAGGCAUUCGGGUUGUAAAGCCCUUUUGUUGGGAAAGAAAAGCAGCAGGUUAAUACCACACUGUUCUGACGGUACCCAAAGAAUAAGCACCGGCUAACUUCGUG
rnacentral:rRNA from 1 species